CCUACGGGACGCAGCAGUGGGGAAUAUUGCACAAUGGGGGAAACCCUGAUGCAGCGACGCCGCGUGAGUGAAGAAGUAAUUCGUUAUGUAAAGCUCUAUCAGCAGGGAAGAAAAUGACGGUACCUGAGUAAGAAGCCCCGGCUAACUACGUGCCAGCAGCCGCGGUAAUACGUAGGGGGCAAGCGUUAUCCGGAUUUACUGGGUGUAAAGGGAGCGUAGACGGCACUGCAAGCCAGAUGUGAAAGCCCGGGGCUCAACCCCGGGACUGCAUUUGGAACUGUGUAGCUGGAGUGUCGGAGAGGCAG
rnacentral:rRNA from 1 species